CAGCCGCCACGGUAAUACAGAGGGUGCAAGCGUUAAUCGGAAUUACUGGGCGUAAAGCGCGCGUAGGUGGUUUGUUAAGUUGGAUGUGAAAUCCCCGGGCUCAACCUGGGAACUGCAUCCAAAACUGGCAGGCUAGAGUAGGGCAGAGGGUGGUGGAAUUUCCUGUGUAGCGGUGAAAUGCGUAGAUAUAGGAAGGAACACCAGUGGCGAAGGCGACCACCUGGGCUCAUACUGACACUGAGGUGCGAAAGCGUGGGGAGCAAACAGGAUUAGAUACCCGCGUAGUCCCUGUCUCUUAUAC
rnacentral:rRNA from 1 species